rnacentral:lncRNA from 1 species
CUGCUAUGUUUGUGGUGAAGUGACUUUUGCAUCACAAAAGCGCAGUAUAACCACUAUGGUUAAGAAAGCCUAUCACCUUUAUUUUGGCUGCAAAAUUGGAGAUCAGGACAAGAGGUGGCCCCACACAUAUGCUGCAACACUUGUGCAACAAAUCUUCGCCAGUGGGUGAAUAGGAAAAGGAAAUCUAUGCCUUUUGCAGUGCCUAUGAUUUGGAGAGAGCCAACAGAUCAUACCAGCAAUUGUUACUUCUGCAUGGUGCCUCCAGUUGGGAAAGGUGUGUCAAAGAAGAAAAAGUGGACUGUGCAUUAUCCAAACAUUCCAUCAGCUAUACGCCCAGUACUCCAUGGAGAAGGACUGCCAGUUCCUGAUGCACCAGAAUCAUUCUCACUUGAGUCAGACGAGGAAGAGGAAGAGGAUGAAACUUCUGGUCCUGAACCAUCAAUGUCACAGGACCCACAUUUUCUCCCAUCCUCCUCCUCUGAACCACACCUCAUAACACAAGGUGAACUGAAUGACCUUGUCAGGGAUUUGGAACUACCCAAGAGCAAGGCAGAGCUGUUGGGCUCCAGCCUACAGCAGUGGAAUCUCCUGGCAGGUGAUGUUAGGGUUUCCAUGUUCCGUGACCGUCAAAAGGAUCUUGUCCCAUUCUUCUUCAUGGAAGGCGAUCUUGUAGCCUGCAACAACAUCGAUGGUGUAAUGGCAGUCCUCAACAUCGUUCACGAUCCAGAUGAGUGGAGACUGUUCAUAGAUUCAUCAAAGACGAGUCUUAAAGCUGUUUUACUGCAUAAUGGCAACAUUUUGCCAUCAAUUCCAGUUGAUCAUGCAGUCCAUAUGAAGGAAACCUAUGACAACAUGAAACAACUUUUGAGGUGCAUAAACUAUGACCAACAUCAGUGGCAGCUUUGUGGUGAUUUGAAGGUUGUUGCUCUCUUGCUUGGUCUGCAAACUGAAUACACAAAGUACUGCUGUUUUCUCUGCGAAUGGGAUAGUCAUGCAAGAGAUUCCCACUACAUCAAGAAAGAUUGGCCACUCCGACAGU